rnacentral:misc_RNA from 1 species
UAGUGACCAGAAGAAAA